rnacentral:tRNA from 1 species
UACUGGGGUGGCGGAGCAUGGUUUAAACGCAAAAGACCUAAGCCCUUUAAACGGAGGUUCAAAUCCUCCCCUCAGCUU